rnacentral:rRNA from 1 species
GAUGAACGCUAGCGGCAGGCCUAAUACAUGCAAGUCGAGGGGGCAGCAAUGUCACCGGCGAACGGGUGCGUAACACGUUUGGAAUCUGCCAUUUUACUGGGGGAUAGCCCGCCGAAAGGCGGAUUAAUACCGCAUAUGCCAGUGGCCCGGCAUCGGGCAGGUUGGGAAAGGAGCAAUCCGGUAAGUGAUGACCAUGCGGCUGAUUAGCUAGUUGGCGGGGUANAAGCCCACCAAGGCGACGAUC